rnacentral:rRNA from 1 species
GCGAUCAUUACGGGUAGCAAUAUUCGUUAGUGAGAGCGGCGCAAGGGUGCGUAACACGUGGGUAAUCUGCCAUGAAGUUUGGGAUAACUCCGCGAAAGCGGGACUAAUACCGGAUGUGACAGCCUGGAGGCAUCUUUAGGUUGUUAAAGUUGGGGACCGUAAGGCCUGACGCUUCAUGAUGAGCCCGCGGCCUAUCAGCUAGUUGGUGAGGUAACGGCUCACCAAGGCUAAGACGGGUAGCUGGUCUGAGAGGACGACCAGCCACACUGGAACUGAGACACGGUCCAGACACCUACGGGUGGCAGCAGUCGAGAAUUUUUCACAAUGGGCGCAAGCCUGAUGGAGCGACGCCGCGUGGGGGAUGAAUGGCUUCGGCCCGUAAACCCCUGUCAUUUGCGAUCAAACCUUGCUAUUUAAAAGAUGGCGAGCUGAUAGUAGCGAAAGAGGAAGGGACGGCUAACUCUGUGCCAGCAGCCGCGGUAAUACAGAGGUCCCAAGCGUUGUUCGGAUUCACUGGGCGUAAAGGGUGCGUAGGUGGUGGGGUAAGUCGGAUGUGAAAGCUCGGAGCUCAACUCCGAAAUGGCAUUGGAAACUACCCUGCUAGAGGGUCGGAGGGGGGACUGGAAUUCUCGGUGUAGCAG